rnacentral:rRNA from 1 species
UACGGGGGGAGCAAGCGUUGUUCGGAUUUACUGGGCGUAAAGGGCGCGUAGGCGGCGCAACAAGUCACUUGUGAAAUCUCCGGGCUUAACUCGGAAAGGUCAAGUGAUACUGUUGUGCUAGAGUGCGGAAGGGGCAACUGGAAUUCUCGGUGUAGCGGUGAAAUGCGUAGAUAUCGGGAGGAACAUCAGUGGCGAAGGCGGCCCUCUGGACCAGUACUGACGCUGAGGCACGAAAGCGUGGGGAGCAAACAGG